GAGAAGGUCAGAUGAUCCCAACCGCUUUCAAAAUCAAGCACAAAAUCGUUGGAGACGCCUCAUAGAUUAACUGUGUGGUUUCCUUUACUCAUAGAACUACCUGUUAGAUCUGUGGGAAAGAACUACAAGACAGAG
ensembl:snoRNA